UCAGAAAAAAAGGUUUUGGGGUCACGCGAGGCUCUUUUGGAAUCAAAACGAGUAGAAUAGAAAUAGACAUGAUUUUGUGGGUUUACCCCUAUAGAAAUUGAUGACACGCGCUCAACGCGAGGUUGGUGCGAAUGGGUAUGGAAUUGAGCGCGUGACGUGAAGUAGGUGCGAGUGGGCGUAUAGAGGAGCGCUGUGAUUGGCUGAAAAAAUGAAAAUAGUAGUGAUGUUCCUCCUCUAUAAUUUAUGUUUCGUCAUUCUUCUUCUGAAAGUUGUGUGAUUUUAGAAGUCACAAAAAAACUAUUUUGAGAUACUAUGAAUAUUUCGUUUUGCAUUUUGU
rnacentral:sRNA from 1 species